GGUGCCCGAUGAAAUCCUUAGAGAGGAAACGAAUUCCUAUUCCAAUAUAUCAGAAAUAAAAGAAACAAACAGUAAAAGAGUGCAAGAAUAACUCUCUUUAGAUGUAGAUCAUCAAAUCAAACACGGCCACAAUUUGCUUAAAAACGGAGAAGGUAGCGAGAAGAGAUAUGCUCCACAAUUCUGUUCAGCAAUGUUGUGCAUGCAAUCAAGGGAGGACUAUUGUGGAACAAAUAUACAGUCCAUAUGAAACGGAAAAAAUUUCGGCAUCCCCACUUCGAUAAAUAUCCACUUGGGAGAAUGUAGAAAAAAGCGAGCCAAAUCAAGUCGUCAAGAAUUCGUUCACCAAAGAUAAUUUAUACAAAGCAGCAGAGACACUCAUCUCCAAUUUCUCCACUAUAGACCAAAUAAAAAUGUGAGUGUGAUUCAGAAUUAAGAAAACUUCUGUUGUACAGCAAAGUUUCUCUGUCAGCAACAUACGAUAAAUGUAGAGAAAAAUUAAACUGCCAGAUAGGUUGUAGAAAAAGGAACCAAGAAGAUAGAAAGAAUAUAGCAUAACUCUCCAAACCAAGUUGCAGAUCCGGAUAACAGAGAGAGGCCUACCAAUUUGUCCGAAUGUCUAGAAAAUUAUGUAAACUUUUGCACUUUCUGAAUACAAAAACCCAAAUGUAGAACAAACAUUUGUAAGACAAAAGUAGUAAUGAUGUUAAAAACCCUUAAGACUGAUCUUUUCAAUUAAACAUCAAUAGACAAACAGAAUCAUCAGAGAAGAAAUCAAAUGAAAGAAUCUCAGUACCAAAAAAACUAGAGCCAUAUUUCAAUUCACAUGUAUGGCAAUAAAAUCCAGAACAAAAUGAAACCCCAAUAUCAAGAAACCAUAAAGGAACCAUAAUACAAAACCCGAAGAAUAAUAUGCUCACAAACUACUUUUCCUGAAACGCACCAGAGAAAAUAAAAGAUCAAGAAUAAUAUUUAUUUCAAAAGGAAUAAAGAGUUUUAGAAAACUAAGAGAUUUUAAAAGAGAUCACCAAAACAAAACGCAGGCUCCAUGAUCUAUUGAAACUUAUACUAACAAAUAAAGCUGCAAAAAAACAGGUUUAGAUUUCAAAUUGUAUGUUUUGUGAUCAAA